rnacentral:lncRNA from 1 species
UACAUUGUUUUUUUUUAGGUGAAACAGUUAUCAUUAAUUGGCGACUGCCAACAGACACUAUUUUGUCAGAAUACAGCAUGAAUUGUCUAAAGAAGAAAAAAAAUUUUAAAGAGUUGACACUUCUAUGUAACCCUGUCACUGAAGCUGCUUUUAAGUCAAAUAAAAACUUAACCAAAAUGAAUGCCAUCCAACUUAUUGGGA